rnacentral:rRNA from 1 species
UGCGGUGGCCCUUAACAUUCAGGCCACCUCUGAUUUGAAUUUGGAAGUGAAGCAAGGUUGGUUUGGUUAGUAUUUAAAGGAGAGACCACCUGGGAAUAUCAGGUGUUAUAGAAA